AGAACGAACGCUGGCGGCAUGCCUAAUACAUGCAAGUCGAACGAACACUUCGGUGUUAGUGGCGCACGGGUGCGUAACGCGUGGGAAUCUGCCCUUGGGUUCGGAAUAACAGUUGGAAACGACUGCUAAUACCGGAUGAUGACGAAAGUCCAAAGAUUUAUCGCCCAGGGAUGAGCCCGCGUAGGAUUAGCUAGUUGGUGAGGUAAAGGCUCACCAAGGCGACGAUCCUUAGCUGGUCUGAGAGGAUGAUCAGCCACACUGGGACUGAGACACGGCCCAGACUCCUACGGGAGGCAGCAGUGGGAAUUUGGACAAUGGGGAAACCUGAUCCAGCCAUCCGCGUGUGCGAUGAAGGCCUUCGGGUUGUAAAGCACUUUUGGCAGGGUAAGAAACGGCGUGCCCGUAAUACGGACGUCACUGACGGUACCUGCAGAAUAAGCACCGGCUAACGUACGUGCCAGCAGCCGC
rnacentral:rRNA from 1 species